rnacentral:misc_RNA from 1 species
CUGGUCAAUUAAACUUAUCAAAAUUACUGAUUUACAAAGUAUUAAUAAGUAUAAAAAAAUACAUAAAAUGAUAAUUCAAAUCCUCAAAAGAAGGGAUGACUGUUGAACAUCUAAGUUUUCAACAAAUUCUAUGCAAUUUCAUCCUUAGCAACGUUGCCUUUGAAGAAAAAUGAAUCAACACUGUUGCAAAUAUGGAUGUAAGAGUUUGUUUUAGCAAAGUUUAACCCAAGUUAAUAAAACAGUAAUGAAAUUGCCAUUAAUAUUUACAACUUGGAAGCAAGGCAAACAAUGCGUACACAACAAAAUUAAACAAAUGAAGAACCAAGUGAUAUGGCAAUCAACAAAAUCCAACUCCUAAUUCUUCAGGCUCUAUACAGAACAGAUUGCCAGUCAUGUUUCUUUCAAAGUCAGUGAAGCUUUUGAUUUAUGGCCAGCUGCAAGUUCAGCUGAUAGAAUAAAGCUUGACUUUCCUGCUUCCCUCAAGUACUGUACAUCUCCGCUCAUGAGCUUCACCAGUCUUCGGCUGAUAAGCAGGCUGAUGCCCUCAUCGGUCGCAUCAACAUCACUACCAAACAUUUGGUUUAGUAACGUUUCAGGUAUCCCACCACCAAUAUGUGUUAUCCUGAGUCCCAGAUGCACAAGCUGAACAGAUUGUCCUAACUGGUCUUUGGUCAAGCUAGCUGCAACAGUAAUCCGGCCUCCAGUUGGUGUAUAGUUAACUGACACCAAUAAGAAGUCAGCCAACACUUGUUGAAGCCUAAGGCUAUCACCAUACAAUGUUUCAGUCGUGAUCUCUUCUGAUGAAUCAUGGAUUAUUCGAAUACCCUUCCCUUUGCUCUUCAUUGUGACUUGAUUGAUGGAGGCAACUAGUACUUCAUGCAGAGUAAACUCGACCAUUUCCAGAUCCAAAUAUCCUUCAAUAAUGCUAUCAAUAUCUGAGUCAUCAAGAAUUUUGCCAAGUUGACGCUGACACUGGGCACUAGUCUGUAGAAGCUGCUUUUGUUCUGCAUCCAACUCUGUGCCCUCCAUCAUUUUUUGAGAAAAUAUAAUCCCAGAGAGGGGAUUCCUUAUCUGCCUUUUUAUAUAAGCUAAUGUUUUCAAUCUUUUCAAAGCAGUUUGCUCUGUUAAUCGCUGGACAUGAAGUGCUUGUUGCAGCUCCAGGCUUGCAAGUUGCAGGAAGCAAAAGACCCCAGUAGCAGCACCCUCUCUGUCCAAUUUCUUACUCACACAUAGCAGGCAAUCCACAUAUUGUCCAUUCCGAGCAAAGAAACUGAAAUGAACUUUCUCAGGUUCCUGGCCAGUCAUGGCAUUAUUAAGUAUAAUACCAAGAUUUAGAAAGGCUUCUUGAUUCUUGAGACGACAACAAGCCAUGUUGAUUCCAAAAACCUCCCCCAGAAGCAUUUUAUCUAUUACUUCUUCUCGCUUCCAUCCAGUCAAUUUUGUCAUAGCUGGAUUCCACUCAGAGCACCAGCCAAAUUCAUCUGUCCCAAAUAUUGGUGGGAUCAAUGGGUUUGGGUUUUGCACAAUUGCUUUGUAAUCACCUUCAAUCCGGGUGAACUUGUCCAUAACUAUCUUCUCGCCUGUGACAUCUUGAGCCACAAAACACACCCCAACAACAUUUUCCUGAAUGUCCCUGCUUGAGCAAGCAUUAACAACUAAGCUGAUGGGACCAUCAUCAGCCUUGGAGCCAUGUGUUUUAAUCUCAAAUUGAAUGUUCUGCUCCUCCUUGCCCUGCAAUGCCAAGAACAACAUUUUCUUUACUAUGUCAAAUGAACUUUCUUCCACUAGUGUCAGUAAAUGCUUCCCAAUUGCUUUAUCAACAGGAAGACCUGUCAACUCAGCAAUUUUUGUGUUCCACCCAUUAACAAGUCCAUCAACAUCCACUGCCAAAAUUGGCACUGUCGCUGUUUCAAUUAAACGGACCAUCUCGCUAGUUACUGCUUCCAGUUCUUGCAUCCCUUCAAUUUUGAGGUCACUGAGCCUCGAAUGAAUUGUUUUGGUGUGUGUAUCCAUUGUUUCUACGUCUUUGAAAGCAUUCCUCAGUAUAAGCUGCAGAGAAUGGAUAGCGUCCAUUUCAUAGUCCUUCCAAGGCAAACUCCUUGUCUUGGCAACUUCAAGGAAGGCCUUGAAAGAUGAUCUUGGGUGCAUCCUCCUGCCAUCAUCCUUCUCACCAGGUUCAUGUUUUGCUCCACCCCAUCGAAUUUCUGCUGCAGUUUGGGAACGAAACCAAAAGAGCAUGUCCUUGGCAGUUAUUCUCACAGCAGCCAUUCCACAAACUACAUCGCCAAGAGCCAGAGCCCCUGGGUACCCUGCAUCAUACAAGCUAUCUGUACUCAAACCUGUAGAAUCCAUAUGGUACUCUGAUAGCCAUACAGCUAUAUCUUGAAUUUGUAGAUCACUUGGAGUUACUCCCAACCUCCAUAACUUGUUCUUGUAAAACAGUGCAGCCCCAUCACACUUCACAAGGUCCAUUAUGUUAGGACUCUGCAUGACAAUACCCAAGGGUGCAUCCCGCAUCAACAUAUCACAUAAGAGUGUCUGGGUGCGUAGGAUAUUCUUUUCAACAAUCUGAUUUUCUAAUUCCAAUUCCUUGUUGACAUGGAUAGCAAAUACUUGAACUAGAAACUCACAAGCAUACCUUAGAGGGAAUGGAACAAACCUUGGAGUUGUAUUAUGGCAUACCACUAAACCCCAAAGUCUCUUUCUUUUUUGUGGUGGCACAGAAGUAAGACUGUCAUCAUCUUCAUCCCCCUCAUUGAUAACAACCGCCAUAACCAGUGAAGCAAUGGAAUCCAUGUUCUCCAUAUAUUGUAAAUGGCAACUAUGUGGGGCUCUUAGGGUUGAACCACACAAAGUCAGAUCAAAUGGAAGUUUCUCAUCUUGAAGCACCUUGACAUGUUUUGCACGACAAUCAACAAUCAUUCGAACCUUAUUCUUCAUAAAUAAAAAGCGAGCAGACUGAGGGAUAUCAGUGGCUGGAUAAUGCAGACCCAAAUAUGGCUCCAAACCAGGCUUUGUAAUCUCAGAGAUAACUUCCCCAUGGUCAUCAUCAUGAAAUUUAUAGGUCAUCACCCUAUCAUAACCAGUAAGCUCAGACACCUCCUGAACCAUUGUAUCACAAAGCCUUUCCAUGCUCCCGCUAGGCAAAGACUGCAAACGGGUAAUUGCUUUAGCAGCAAGCUUGUAUGACUGCAGUGCCCCAGCAGCCGUCAUGGGGACCUCAUAAGGCUUCACUGGUUCAAAGUCAAUUAUAAAGCUACCAGUUACCCGAUGAACAAUAGCAUAAAAAGGCUUCCCAGAAGUCUUGCAAUGGACUAAUAUUGGAUUCAAAAGAGAUACAUCUCCAAAUCCCAGAGCUUUCUGCAAGGCAGAGGCACUGGGUGCAGUAAAGAUAGUCCUUAUGUCAGUUCCAAUUCCUAGAACUAGAUGAUCCCCAACACUUGGAACUGCAUGACUAACUGCGGUCAACAUUUCAGGGGCAUUCUCGCUAUAUGCAAUAACCUUGAAAGUUUUCUCAUCUAAGGCUAGCAAGCAGCCAAAAGGCUGGAUGAGCUUGCCUUUCUGGAUUUGAUGAAGAUAAGCUGAGGUUACUUUGUCUGACCUGGGUGGUUGAUCUCCAACUGAACUGGUAAUACGCACCAAGUUCGAGUAGUCAAAUGAAUUGCCUGACUCUUCAAAAUCUGCAUGGAGCUUUGCAUCUACAGUGGUCUGAGCAAUAAUCCUAGCACUGUGUCUUGAUCUCACAGAAUUGCUGGAUGAGGAGUGGCUUGGCCUAGAGGAAGACAUCUUCACCCAAUCUCACUGCACUGAGAGCCAAACCCAGUAAUCUUUGAUCUAGCCUCGUCCACCUGAUGAAUUUAGCUGUUUGAAUAAGGAAGAGGAGGAGGAGAAGAAG